GCAGGAGCUGUUGCAGUUCUACUUCCAGUGACCUUAAUCACCGUGAUUGCUCUGUCAGUGGCAAAGGUCUGCGUGACUCCUCCCGAUUGCCCGUCUGCCUGCUGCCCAGAAGACUGGAUCGGGUACCAUGAAAAAUGUUACUUUUUCCCUAACGAUGAAGCAAACUGGACCGCGAGCCAACAUUCAUGCUCUUCUCAUGCUGCUUCCUUGGCUGGGUUUGACACCCUAAAAGAAAAGGAUUUCUUGAUGCGACAAAAAGGCUACCUGGAUGCCUGGAUCGGCCUCAGGAGGGAACCAGGCCAGCCCUGGAAGUGGCCCAAUGGCUCAGUAGUCAACCUGGUUCAAAUAGGAGGAGGAGGAGAAUGUGCCUAUGUAUUUGGAAUCGCUGUCCGCAGUUCAGGGUGCUACACAAAAAGGAACUGGAUCUGUAGCAAACCUGAUGAAUUUGCAAAGAGGAAAAAUACAGAGGCCUUGUCUACACAACAGAAUUAAGUCAAUUUAAAUUACACCCAUUUAUAAUCCCGGCUGUAAUUAAUCUGCUGUUGUAUGUCCUCAUUAUCCUCUUUGUGUUGGGAGAGCAGGUCCACAGUAGCAGCUCCUGCAUUGCCACAGAGAACAGUGCAUUGUGGGUACAUGUCCCACUGCAACUCAUCACCCUCUUAACACCGGGUGUUUUGGGAAUGGUUUGCAAUGUCCUAUGGGGACAGGUUUAGUGUCCCAUGAUACAGUUUUCUCCUUCCCAUCAUUCCACAGGCAUCCGAGUACAUUUCAUCCUGCUUUCUGCAUCAGAAAACAUGGACCCUGUGUAACCCCUCACCUAGUGUGGUUCACUGUCCCAUGCAGUGGCACCUAGACCACAGCAACAGCUAAGAAGAGACCUCUAUAGCAGGGGCUGAGAGCCAGGUGGCUUUUAGUUCAGAGGCUAGAGGCUCCUAUACUAAGCUCCAGAGGUUCCAGGUUCAAGUCCUCUUCAGUACUGUGCUGUGUAUUAUGAGCACAAUGUACCUGCCCCUGCAGUACCUCAGCAGUUGCUGUGUGCUAAGCCAAAAAAGAAAAGACUGCUGUUGGCAUUCACAGAACGGGGCACAUGGUGGACGGUUGGUUCGGAGCACGAGAAACGCUGAUGGGAUGAUAGCCAGGUUGCUCCAUGCCUGCCUGUCCCAGAUGCAGAGCCCCUUCGCUGCUGGCCUGAGCUGAUUGCCCACAGCCAGUGCAAAGAGAACAAGGCCCAGUGAGCAGAGCAAACCUGCUGUGACUCACAGCCAGGCUCCAUUCCCCUCCUGGUCUGGUGUGACUCUGCUGCCAGCAGUUUUUUGUCGGCCAGUUCGGGCCGGUGGGGAGCAGGGAGGGUCAGGUGGCUGGCAGCACACACAGAGACAGCCCUGGUACCUCUCCUGCAUUCCUUCACUGCUGCAUUCUCCUUCUGCACCUCCAUGGGGAAACUGCCCUAGAGGCAAAGAUGAAAGAGAGGGGGCACACAGCUCCAGCAAGAGGGGGCUGGGCUGCCAUGGAAGCCAGCAGGGAGCUAUGGAAAGAGCUGGCAGAGCCCAGGGUGGCAACAGGACAGUGCCUGUAAGAAAGGUUCAGUUCCUUUCACCGCUGCAUGGCUGCACAUAGCAACUAGCAUUGCUAUUAGCUCCCUUACUGCUGUGCCUCUGCCUCUGUCACGUUAUUGGAUUUUGAAGGGAGCAGUCGGGUCACUGCCGCAUCCAUGGGGGGCUGUUGGCCCCAGAAGUGGCACAAAGGGGGGCCAUGUGAGGUGUCAAAUAGAAGCCUACUUUCUUCUGAUUCCA